UCCUCAGUAGCUCAGUUGGUUAGAGCACCUGACUGUUAAUCAGGGGGUCCUAGGUUCAAGUCCUAGCUGGGGAGCCA
rnacentral:tRNA from 1 species